UACGAAGGGGGGCUAGCGUUGUUCGGAAUCACUGGGCGUAAAGCGCACGUAGGCGGAUCUUUAAGUCAGGGGUGAAAUGCCGGGGCUCAACCUCGGAACUGCCUUUGAUACUGGAUGUCUGGAGUUCGGGAGAGGUGAGUGGAAUUCCGAGUGUAGAGGUGAAAUUCGUAGAUAUUCGGAGGAACACCAGAAGCGAAGGCGGCUCACUGGGCAUGUCCUGACGCUGAGGAGCGAAAGUGUGGGGGAGCGAACAGG
rnacentral:rRNA from 1 species